UCUGACAUACAUUGUUGACCUCCGGCUUCCAAGACAAAUCUGGACCUGAUGUGAAGUCAUUACAGUCAGGGACUGUCCCAUAGUGAGCUUUAAGGCUCUUUUUAUGAGGAGGGCUGUUCUAUGCUUAGCUAAAGCAUCUGUUUGCAAUUG